GGAGGGUGCGAGCGUUGUCCGGAAUCAUUGGGCGUAAAGGGCGCGUAGGUGGCCCAGUCAGCGUGCGGUGAAAGCUCGGGGCUCAACCCCGAGUCGGCCGUGCGAACUGCUGGGCUCGAGCACUGUAGAGGCAGGCGGAAUUCCGGGUGUAGCGGUGGAAUGCGUAGAGAUCCGGAAGAACACCGGUGGCGAAGGCGGCCUGCUGGGCAGUAGCUGACACUGAGGCGCGACAGCGUGGGGAGCAAACAGGAUUAGAUACCCUGGUAGUCCACGCCGUAAACGAUGGGCACUAGGCGCUUGGGGGAGCGACCCCCCGAGGGCCGGCGCUAACGCAUUAAGUGCCCCGCCUGGGGAGUACGGCCGCAAGGCUG
rnacentral:rRNA from 1 species